GUCAUCCUCCGGGGGCGGGGCCCGGGCCGCAUUGUCUCGUCUAGGGCCGGCUGGACGCCCCAGAGGCCGGACCUGGGCAACCCCAGCCUGGAGGUGCCGGGGCCGGAGCUCCCAGAGGGCUGGGUGCGAGGCCUAGGCGGGGUCAGGUUCGGGUUCCUAGGCCAUAGCGGAGCUGCAGCCCAGGCGGCCGGAGCGGAACCCAGCCCCGCUCCGAGUGCCACGUCUCCAGGAACCCCCUCCUUACUCUUGGACAACACUCCGCCCCCGCCCGGGCCUCCGUCCCCCAAACCGCCCUCAUUUGUGCAGCGCCAGAUCCUUCGGACACAUCCCUAGGUGUCUCCAUCCUCAUUCGGUCCAUCCAACUCCCAGACCUCACGUCAACCGGCUGCACCCCACUUUCCAGCCUGCGCCCCAGAUCUGCAGCCUUCGCCCCUAGAUACACCCGCCUGGUGAUGAGGCGCUCCUCGCGUUCCUUCCGUCUCCAGUGCACCGGCUUUCCCUCGUCCUCUGCGCAGUCCAUCUCAGCUCAUCUCUCCAAUUCAAUGCCAUCAUCUCUCCUCACCAUCUCUCGGUGCCCUGGAAUGUUUGCUGUCAGAUGUCCCCUGUGAAACCCACAAACGCUUGCGAUUUGGCCUCCUUGUUUUAUUUUGUGUAGUCCUACAACGUCUUGUUACUACCCCCUAUUACAACACUUAUAACUCAGUA
rnacentral:lncRNA from 10 species